rnacentral:tRNA from 1 species
AGGCUUGUAGCUCAGGUGGUUAGAGCGUCACCCCUGAUAAGGGUGAGGUCGGUGGUUCAAGUCCACUCAGGCCUACCA